rnacentral:lncRNA from 1 species
AGAGAUUGAAUCUGACGAGUUCGGUGAUUUUAACAGGAGAAGAGGUCGGAGCUCAGCUGAGUCAUUUUCUAGGAGUUCGAGGAAGAAUGGGCCUAACUCGGUUGCCAGAACGCGAUAUGAGAGUGAAUCAGGUAUAGAGGAUGAUGACGACGACGAUGAAAUGCAUUCUCGAAAGCAAAUUCGCAGUUUUAGAGGUGGGAAUUCGACAUUGUCGAAGAGAGGUGGGAGAGAUUCGGAUUUGGGUUAUAGGAGAGAUUUUGAUUCGGGGUAUAGGGGUGACCGAGGAGGUUUUGGGGGUUUGAGGAGAGGUGAAAAUGAAAGAGGUGGUGGGGGUUUGAGGAGAGGUGAAAAUGAAAGAGGUGGUGGGGGUUUAAGGAGAGGUGCAAAUGGAAGAGGUGGUGGGGGUUUAAGGAGAGGUGAAAAUGGAAGAGGUGGUGGGGGUUUAAGGAGAGGUGAAAAUGGAAGAGGUGGUGGGGGUUUAAGGAGAGGUGACAGAGGGCCCCAAAAACAAGCACAUUUGGUCUCGGAAGGUGAGGAUGAGGAUGAGGAUGAGGAAUUGAAGGGUAGUUUUAAAGGUUUGCUGAGUGAGGAAGAUAGUGAAGAAGAAGAAGAAGAGGAUGAUGAUGAUGACGACCAUGAUGAAGUUUUGAAGAAGAAUGCAAGUUCUUUGUUUGGGGCAGCUGCCAAGGAAGCGGUACCUAGGAGUUCGACUGGAAAA